GAUGAACGCUAGCGGCAGGCUUAACACAUGCAAGUCGAGGGGCAGCGCGAUGUAGCAAUACAUUGGCGGCGACCGGCGCACGGGUGCGUAACACGUAUGGAACUUACCCUUUACUGGGAGAUAGCCCGGAGAAAUCCGGAUUAAUAUCCCAUAAUAUACGAAGUGGCAUCACUUUGUUUUGAAAGCUCCGGCGGUAAAGGAUGGCCAUGCGCACGAUUAGCUAGUAGGUGAGGUAACGGCUCACCUAGGCUACGAUCGUUAGGGGGCCUGAGAGGGUUAUCCCCCACACUGGUACUGAGACACGGACCAGACUCCUACGGGAGGCAGCAGUGAGGAAUAUUGCGCAAUGGAGGCAACUCUGACGCAGCCAUGCCGCGUGCAGGAAGAAGGCGCUACGCGUCGUAAACUGCUUUUACCAGGGAAGAAACCCCCAGACGUGUCUGGGGUUGACGGUACCUGAGGAAUAAGCACCGGCUAACUUCGUGCCAGCAGCCG
rnacentral:rRNA from 1 species